CCUACGGGUGGCAGCAGUGGGGAAUAUUGCGCAAUGGGCGAAAGCCUGACGCCGCGACGCCGCGUGAGGGAUGAAGGCCUUCGGAUCGUAAACCUCUGUCAGCAGGGAAGAACGGUCACUGUGCUAAUCAGCAGUGAAUUGACGGUACCUGCAAAGGAAGCACCGGCUAACUCCGUGCAAGCAGCCGCGGUAAUACGGAGGGUGCGAGCGUUAAUCGGAAUUUCUGUGCGAAAAGCGCUCGUAGGCGGUAUGUCAAGUCAAGGGUGAAAUCCCCGCGCUCAACGUGGGAACUGCCUGUGAAACUGGCGACCUGGAGUGUGUGAGAGGAUAGUGGAAUGCCAGGUGUAGGGGUGAAAUCCGUAGAUAUCUGGAAGAACAUCAGUGGCGAAGGCGACUAUCUGGCACAUAACUGACGCUGAGGAGCGAAAGCGUGGGUAGCAAACAGGAUUAGAUACCCUUGUAGUC
rnacentral:rRNA from 1 species